rfam:Canis lupus familiaris chromosome 17, whole genome shotgun sequence.
UGCUUUGGCAGUAUACUAAAAUUGGAAUGGUACAAAGAAGAUUAGCAUGGCCCCUGCACACAGAGGACACACAAGUUCAUGAAGCAUUCCACAUUUUU